UCCGGUUUGACACCGGCAGUCUCCCUAGAGUGCCCGGCAUAACCCGCUGGUAACCAGGGACGAGGGUUGCGCUCGUUGCGGGACUUAACCCAACAUCCCACGACACGAGCUGACGACAGCCAUGCACCACCUGUGCACUUGCCCCGAAGGGCUGCCGUAUUUCUACGACAUUCAAGUGCAUGUCAAGCCUUGGUAAGGUUCUUCGCGUUGCGUCGAAUUAAACCACAUGCUCCGCUGCUUGUGCGGGCCCCCGUCAAUUCCUUUGAGUUUUAAUCUUGCGACCGUACUCCCCAGGCGGGGCACUUAAUGCGUUAGCUGCGGCACCCAGGGGGUCAAUACCCCGGACACCUAGUGCCCAUCGUUUACAGCGUGGACUAC
rnacentral:misc_RNA from 1 species